GAGAGUUUGGCCGAGUGGUUUAAGGCGUCAGAUUUAGGUUACAACCUGNAAUCCUCUGAUAUCUACGGAUGCAAGGGUUCGAAUCCCUUAGCUCUCA
rfam:Zygosaccharomyces bailii CLIB 213 genomic, scaffold06